GUUUUCGUAGUGUAGUGGUUAUCACGUUCGCCUCACACGCGAAAGGACCCCGGUUCGAACCCGGGCGAAAACA
rnacentral:tRNA from 1 species